GCCUGGGUGGCUUAGUCGGUUAAGCAUCCGACUUCAGCUCAGGUCAUGAUCUCGCAGUUUGUGGGGUUGAGCCCCACGUCAGGCU
rnacentral:tRNA from 1 species